UCUGGUUCUGCUUUAUGGCCU
rnacentral:miRNA from 1 species